UACGUAGGGCGCAAGCGUUGUCCGGAAUUAUUGGGCGUAAAGAGCUCGUAGGCGGCUUGUCACGUCGGGUGUGAAAGCCCGGGGCUUAACCCCGGGUCUGCAUUCGAUACGGGCAGGCUAGAGUGUGGUAGGGGAGAUUGGAAUUCCUGGUGUAGCGGUGGAAUGCGCAGAUAUCAGGAGGAACACCGAUGGCGAAGGCAGAUCUCUGGGCCGUUACUGACGCUGAGGAGCGAAAGGGUGGGGAGCAAACAGG
rnacentral:rRNA from 1 species